rnacentral:rRNA from 1 species
AUUGAACGCUGGCGGCAGGCCUAACACAUGCAAGUCGAGCGGCGCGGCGGCCGGGUGAGUCAUGCCUAGGAAUCUGCCUGGUAGUGGGGGAUCACGUCCGGAAAUGGGCGCUACUGCCGCAUACUAUCAGAUGAGCCUAGGUCGGAUUCGCUUGUUGGUGGGGUAAUGGCCUACCAAGGCGUCGAUCCGUAACUGGGCUGUGAGGAUGAUCAGUAACACUGGAAAUGAGACACGGUACAGACUCCUACGGGAGGCAGCAGUGGGGAAUAUUGGACAAUGGGCGAAAGCCUGAUCCAGCCAUGCCGCGUGUGGGAAGAAGGUCUUCGGAUUGUAAAGCACUUUAAGUUGGGAGGCGUUACCAACAGAAUAAGCACCGGCUAACUUCGUGCCAGCAGCCGCGGUAAUUC